rnacentral:piRNA from 1 species
UCCUAGGAAGGAACUCAACGCUGCUUAACCC